AUCUUCCAUCAUUCGGGCCCACAGGCCUGCUCCUCGUGGAUGCGUUGUUGAAGUGCCAGCCAGUUCCAAGCAGCUGUGUGGCCCGACCUGCCCUGAGGGUUGGCGACACCAACCAGCUCCAGGGGCCGCUCCAGGGCUUGGACAUAAGGUGUGGCCCUAAAAAGAUGAAGAAGAGGAAGAAGAAGAAAUAAACAAUGAAUCUUGGAACAUCAGAAAGGAAGAAAAAACAAUACACAUAAAGAAUAAAAAUAUAGCUCCAAGAUUGUACACACUUCGGGGGAGGAAGCCCUAGUGAUGGGCGCUCACCAGAUGAACAAUUCAGUGGUCACAGAUGUAGCUGUGAACAUGUGAUCCAUCAUCUCGUGGACAACAAAAGACUUUUUCCAGGACCAGCAAUGAUUUCCAUGUGCUCACAAGGCUUUAUGAAUGUGCUGUCCCGCCCGUAGGUCAGCCCGGCGAUGCAUUCUCUGCGCUUCGCGACUUAGGGGAGCUCAAAAAAGAGGACUGAGACUUAUGGUGUCAAAGAUUGCCUUUACUGCUAACUUACUAGCUUGGGAGGCUGUGCCCUAGUUUUCUUCCGAACAAAAAUAAGAGAAAUAACACUUGGCUGAGUGUCUUGCUUCUCCUUUUGGACGGGACAUUGAAAGGACACCAAAACCCUUCUCAGAGGUUCUAAAGGAAAUGUAUGUUGUCCGGAUGUGGAAAAUCAGGAGUGCUACUUUCAGAGGAAUGAAUGUGCCUUACUUCUCUAAUGAAAGAGAGAGAGAGAAGAUUUUUCUAGAUGCUCCAGAGGCAGAACCUUUCAUUGCGACCUGGUAUUGGGUUGGGAAUUUAUCUACACUGUUUGUCAGUAGAAGAUUUGAGAAUUUUUGCUCUGGCUUCCAGAGUUCUUAAGAAAUUGCCAGAUUUUGUGCAAACACCUACCCUUCUCUUCCCUUCCUCAAGUCUUGACCCACCCACGAGGAAGAGGAAAAAGGAGACACUUUCACUUAUUUGGCAGCCCCUUGGGGAGCCGGACAUGGAGCCCAGGCCUGUGCGUGGCUCUGUCCUGCAGCUCCCAGGGGACAGCAAGGACCUAGGUGUGCUUGGGACAGUCACAAACACUGGAUUUGCAGCUGGAGACCUACGGCCCUUGCUUGUUUAAUGCUUGGUCAUUAGUUUGGUGGCUCUAUUUGGAAGAGAACCUAUAAUGUGAUCUUGAGCGUGUCCCCAGCCCAGCCCUCCAGGGAUGCCUCUGUCCCUCUGUGACCUUCGGGAUGGUCCCUGGUAUUCCCAGCCCUUCUCGAUUUGUCCCAUUCCCUCCCCCAGGCUCCUUUCCUACCCGUCCCUGGCUCCCCCCCACCUCACCUGUGCUCUAUGAGAACAAAGACAUCAGCUAACAAAGCCCUUACCACGUUUCACUCUGAACAUUUCUCCGUAUGAGACACCUUUUCCGGAAUCAGCUUCCUGUUCAGGGUUUAGGGGUCCAAGGCCCUGCAUUUCUGAUGAGCUCCCAGGUCCUGCUGGUGGUGGGUGGACAACCCUUGGAGGAGCAGACACUCAGCACAUAUUAACUUGUUUCAUCCUCACAACCACCUUUGAGGUUGGUGCUACUGUUGUCCCUGAUAUUCUUUUGAGAAAAUGGAGGCCCAGGAUGGUGAAGUGACUUGCCUGCGGUCACACAGCAAGUUAAGUGUCAGAGCUGGGAUUUGAACUCAGGAAGUCUGGCUCUGGGGUCCAUUUUCUUGUCCACUACCCUGUACUGCUUUUCAAAGGCUCAGCUAACUAUUUCUGGUUUCCAAAGGCCCCAUCUUCUCUCUCUCUUCCAUGACUAAUGCACAUUAAUCAGCCUCUCCUCCCUCUCAGUGUUCUCAUCUGUGGAAUGGGGUUGAGACAAUACCUACUUCACAGGGCUGUACGGGGAUCCAACAAGAUAAUCUAUAAGUUUACUCCUGCUUCUCCUCCUUUUUCCUGCCAUUGUCAUUGCUGUAUGGUUAAUACUGUGGACUUCAAUCCCACUGACCGUGCUGGGGCCACAUCCUUGGGACCCCUUAGCUAUGUCACAUGGUGUGUUAUUGAAACUGUUAGUUUCCUCUUCUCAAAAGGGCACGAUAAUAGUAAUUCCUUCCUUUAAAGUUACUUUAUGAAGUAUGAACUAGAUACAUGUUAGCAGGGUACAGAAGGUGCUGGUGAGUGCUCAUUGUUAGUAUUUUCAUUCAAUAGUUCCAUAAACACACCUCUCUCAGCCACAACUACACACUCGAAUUCGAUUAGGAGUCUCAGCACUUGCACAUGUGUCCUCUUGUUUAGUCCUUACGCAAGUCGGGAAAUGCUCAUUCCCACCGUGUGGAUGAGAAAACGGUGUCAUGGCACGGGUGAGACUUAGUGCCAGCUGGCUCCUUAUUGGGGACCAGCGUUGAAGCCCCCAGCCCUGUCCACUGGUUCCUCUUUCCGACAUGGUCAGUGUGGGCUUCACAAUGAGUGGCUGCCACGUGCAGAACCAGGUCACCCGCGUGUGUGAGCAUCAGGGAGCUUCUCCGCCACCCAAGUACUUUUCUACUCUCUUACCUCAGAGUGUGUGGUUUCCUUAAAUCCCUUUCUUUUAGUUAUGUCUUUAUAUAUUUGUAUAUUUUUUUCCCUCUCUCUUUCUCUCUGACUGAGGCCCCUUUUGUGACGUCCAGUAACAUGGACAGAGUGGGCGUGGCCAGCUCUGGGGACCAACCUGUCCUUGGCCCUUCAGUCGCAUCACUUUUGAGAGAUGGCCCCUGAGAGCCAGGACUGUGGAGACAAGCUCUUGGGGCCCAAGGGGUAGAUGGUUUGGUAAACCCACUCCUGGUAGCACUCAGUUUCCCCUUCAUCUUCGAUUAAACACAGGCAGGAGCGAUUGAUAGAAAAUUUGAAAACUGAGUCCAUGUUGCCUGCCGUGCUGUGUGCAACCCUGUCCAUGUGAUGCUCUGAGAUGAACUGCGCGUUGUUUAGUGUGGGGGUCAAUAUUUUCCUUCAGUAAAAUGACACCUUUUCUGAGGUUGGUGGCAAGCUUACAGAUGCUCAUUCAUUUUGGACUCAAGUUUUUAUAGUUGUCUCUCUCUGCAGUUUCGUGACCUAUACUAGUGUUAUUGGUAAAAUGUUAAGUGAAUUCCUGUUAAUUUUAUUUUCAUAUCCACAAGCAUUUGUCAUUGGCCUGCAAUGUGCAUAGGAAUAGGGUAUAUCUUUGGGGGAUUAAGGGGAUCAUAAUAGGCACACACACACACACUCACACACUCACACGUGCACACACUCACGCGCACAUACAAUCACACAAUCUCUUGUAAUGAAUUCAAGGAGAUUUGCUUCUAGCCUGGAGACCUUACAAAGGAAACAAUUGAGAAAUAUUUCUAAUAUCUUCCAAUUAAGAACCCAAAGGAAUGUGAGGUCAAAUGCUGGACGCCGUGGAGUCAGGCAAAAGCACUGCUUUUUGUGAAGAGUGGAUCACUUCAGCUCUGUGUGGAGGGAGACAGCCUUUUCGCCUUCUCAGGGUGCAGAUUGGAAGCAAGACACGGGGAUCUGUUUUUCUAGGGUGCAAGUGGUGAUAUUGAGGAAAGAAUAUUGGACUUGCUGGCCAAAGACUUGCAUUCCAAUUUUUGAUCUGAUAUUUGUUCAUCAUGGGAUUUUAAACAAGUUAAUUAACCUCUCUGAACCCAAUUUGCUGAUCUGUAAGACGGAGUUAACGAUAUCCACUCCAAGGAUUGCUGAGUGGAGAAAAUAUCCGGUAAUAGAUGGGAACAGAGUCUGUGAACAUGUCCUUAAGAGGUCACGAUGAUAACUAUGCCCUGCACGUAACUAACGUGAUGUCUGCACAUGGACAUGACAGUGAGUGAGGAAGGGAGUGAGCAGAUCCAUCCGGAGCCCCCAUUUCUGUCCCUAAUGGGUGGCCAGGCCUGAGCAGGAGGACUGAGGGGAAGCAUAGACGGUGCAGCCUCAGGGAAGGGUGGACCCGAAGCUGGAGAAGCAUAGAGGGCAGUGGUAUUGAGUAUAUUCAUGGGAUUGUACGUCCAUCUCCACUUCUGGUUCUGGGACUUCCUAUCAUCAUACUUGUAAAAUAUGGAAACCCUCUACUGUUACGGAGUUACCCAGCAUUCCCCUGCCUCCGCUCCCUGUGAUAACUGUCUCUAUGGAAUUGCCUAUUCUGGACAUUUCAUGUAAGUGGAGUCGUUACAGUAUGUGGCCUUUUGUGUCCGGCCUCUUUCACCAAGCAUAGUGAUUUCGAGGUUCAUCGACCUUGUAGCAUGAAUCUGUACAUCGUUUCUUUUUUUGGCUGAGUAAUAUUCCAUUGUAGAAUUAGGUCACAUUAGGUUUCUCUGUUCAUUAGUGGGUAGACAGUUGCAUUCUUUCCACCUUCUGGCUAUUGUGAAUAGUGCUGUCAUGGACACUGGGGUGAGAGGUUUUGUUUGAAUCUUAUCUCUUGUCUCCAAAUAUUUCAUCCUCUGAUCUUCUCCCCUUCUUUCACUAAACCUUCAGUGGCUUCCCUGCCUUGUGGGAUAAAAUUAAAAGUCACUAACAUGGUCUCCAGGCCCCAAGUGCUUUGGCUUUUGCCCACCACCAUGCACGCCAGCCAUGCCAGCCACUCCAACCAUGCCAGCCACUCAGCACUUCUCUUGGUUCCUGGAAUCCAACAAGCUUCUACCACCUCUGCUCAGUCCCCUGGCUUGCCAGCUUAGCCUAUAAAGCUCCUCUGGAUUCUUCUUUACCAAGCUCUCUCUCAAUCACACUUCCCAGUUCAGCCAGACUGAGUCCAGCACCCCCAAAACAGCCCCUUGUUUUGUAGCCUCUCAUACCCUCCCUUCUCCUUUGCAGUGUGCGUUACCAUUGCAUCACAGUGACGGAUGGUCUCUCCCUGAGAAAAUGCAAGACCCCCGAGGGAUGGUAGGAGGUGUCUCCUGCACAGCUGUAAAUCCGGCACGUAGCACAUUUCCUGCCACAACAGGAGCUGCCGACCUAGCAAAGCUGGGAAUGUACGAUGGCUGAAAUACAUUAAGCCCUGGGCCAACGUUCAUACAUUUGAGAUGACAUCAGAGCCAUGAAGACCCCAUCACUUAACCUCCCACAGAGACAGAGCAAAGUCAGUGCCCCGUGGAAGAGCACUCACAGGGUUUUCCUCCUGGAACAAAGGCUGGGGAGGGAGUGGGGUGCAGUUGUCUUUAACAGGGCAAUGCCACAGUCACCAGGCUUCCUGGGUCCUGGGGAGCAACAGGCGGUGGCAUCAGCAGGAGGCCCCAUUCCUACUGCAAAAGUGAGUCACUGCAGGUGGAUGACCGUGCGUGGGGAGGGGAUAGGAAGGACUUCAUCCCGACCAGUGGCCUGGGGUGGGGUCAGACCCCAAAAGCUGACCAUGGGGAGAGCCAGGGAGGACCAGCUGGACAGGUCCUUGGCUGCAGCAAAUGUUUGGAUCAUUCCAUUUUGCAGCCCAUGAGGCCUAUGGAAAAUCUUAUUGGAGAGAUUGCUUUGGUUUGUUUGUUUUGUUUUUUUUUUUCCUACUAAAAAGAUUUUUAAUGGGGAGGUAAUGACAUUAAAGCAUUAAUU
rnacentral:lncRNA from 9 species